rnacentral:rRNA from 1 species
CACGUAGGGGGCAAGCGUUGUCCGGAUUCAUUGGGCGUAAAGAGCUCGUAGGCGGUUUGUUGCGUCGGCUGUGAAAUCCCGAGGCUCAACCUCGGGUCUGCAGUCGAUACGAGCAAACUAGAGUGUUGCAGGGGAGACUGGAAUUCCUGGUGUAGCGGUGAAAUGCGCAGAUAUCAGGAGGAACACCGGUGGCGAAGGCGGGUCUCUGGGCAACAACUGACGCUGAGGAGCGAAAGCGUGGGGAGCGAACAGG